AGCACGGGAGACAGAGCACCGGGUGCUAACGUCCGGACUCAAAAGGGAAACAACCCAGACCGCCGGCUAAGGUCCCUAAUAUUGACUAAGUGGAAAACGAAGUGGGAAGGCUAAGACAGUCAGGAAGUUGGCUUAGAAGCAGCCAUCCUUCAAAGAAAGCGUAAUAGCUCACUGAUCGAGUCUUCCUGCGCGGAAGAUGUAACGGGGCUAAGUCAAUAACCGAAGCCGCGGAUUCACGACUUGUCGUGAGUGGUAGGGGAGCGUUCUGUAAGCCUGCGAAGGCGGUUCGCAAGGACUGCUGGAGGUAUCAGAAGUGCGAAUGCUGACAUGAGUAACGUUAAAGCAGGUGAAAAGCCUGCUCGCCGUAAGCCCAAGGUUUCCUGCUCUACGUUCAUCGGAGCAGGGUGAGUCGGCCCCUAAGGCGAGGCUGAGAAGCGUAGCUGAUGGGAACAAGGUUAAUAUUCCUUGACCGCCGUUGAGUGCGAAGGGGGGACGGAGUGUUGAAGAUCAUCCGGGUGUUGGAUGUCCCGGUUUGUGAACGUAGGAGGCCGGCAGGCAAAUCCGCCGGCGUAUCUCCGAGGUGAAGCAUCGAGGUCCGUAUGGACCGAAGUGAUCGGAUGGGCUCCCAGGAAAAGCCUCUAAGCUCCAGCUCAACGGGACCGUACCGCAAACCGACACUGGUGGGCGAGCUGAAUAUGCUCAGGCGCUUGAGAGAACUCAGGAGAAGGAACUCGGCAAAUUGACACCGUAACUUCGGGAUAAGGUGUGCCUCGGUAGCGUGAAGGAAGAAACAUCCGGAGCGUGAAGAGGUCUCAGAGAAUCGGUGGCUGCGACUGUUUACUAAAAACACAGCACUCUGCAAAGACGAAAGUCGACGUAUAGGGUGUGAUGCCUGCCCGGUGCUGGAAGAUUAAUUGAUGGGGUGCAAGCUCCUGAUCGAAGUCCCAGUAAACGGCGGCCGUAACUAUAACGGUCCUAAGGUAGCGAAAUUCCUUGUCGGGCAAGUUCCGACCUGCACGAAUGGCAUAACGAUGGCCACACUGUCUCCUCCUGAGACUCAGUGAAGUUGAAGUGUUUGUGAUGAUGCAAUCUCCCCGCGGCUAGACGGAAAGACCCCAUGAACCUUUACUGUAGCUUUGCAUUGGACUUUGAACCGAUCUGUGUAGGAUAGGUGGGAGGCUGUGAAACCGGGACGCCAGUACCGGUGGAGCCGUCCUUGAAAUACCACCCUGAUUUGUUUGAGGUUCUAACCUAGGUCGGUGAUCCCGAUCGGGGACCGUGCAUGGUAGGCAGUUUGACUGGGGCGGUCUCCUCCUAAAGGGUAACGGAGGAGUGCGAAGGUACGCUAGGUACGGUCGGAAAUCGUGCUGAUAGUGCAAUGGCAAAAGCGUGCUUGACUGCGAGACCCACAAGUCGAGCAGAUACGAAAGUAGGUCAUAGUGAUCCGGUGGCUCUGUAUGGAAGGGCCAUCGCUCAACGGAUAAAAGGUACUCUGGGGAUAACAGGCUGAUACCGCCCAAGAGUUCAUAUCGACGGCGGUGUUUGGCACCUCGAUGUCGGCUCAUCUCAUCCUGGGGCUGUAGUCGGUCCCAAGGGUAUGGCUGUUCGCCAUUUAAAGAGGUACGUGAGCUGGGUUUAAAACGUCGUGAGACAGUUUGGUCCCUAUCUGCCGUGGGCGUUGGAAGAUUGACGGGGGCUGCUCCUAGUACGAGAGGACCGGAGUGGACUCACCUCUGGUGUACCGGUUGUCACGCCAGUGGCAUUGCCGGGUAGCUAUGUGGGGAAGAGAUAACCGCUGAAAGCAUCUAAGCGGGAAACUUGCCUGAAGAUAAGUCUUCCUGGAGGCUAGACCUCCCUAAAGAGUCGUUCGAGACCAGGACGUUGAUAGGUUGGGUGUGUAAGCGCUGUGAGGCGUUGAGCUAACCAAUACUAAUUGCUCGUGCAGCUUGAUCC
rnacentral:rRNA from 1 species